AGAAUUUUCAUUUCCGUGUGACUGUUUUGUUUUCAUUCAGCGAGUUGAGUGCUGAUUCGGUCGAGCCAGACAGCUUUUAUUUUUACGUUUUACGAAGUUUUUGAACAUUAUGUGAGAAAUAAAACAUGUUACCGUGGAAAUGGAUUUCUGCAGAACAACGUUCCGAGAUGAUAAUGAUUUCCAGAAUUUUUAUGUUUGUUAAAAAUUCUCUUCACGAAUGCGGCUUUCUGGAUGCUUCACACCUCGGUCUCUACAUAAAUAAUCUAGAGGAAUUAUUUUUCAAUA